AAGUCUUUGGGUUCCGGGGGGAGUAUGGUCGCAUGGCUGAAACUUAAAGAAAUUGUCGGAAGGGCCCCGCCAGGAGUGGAACGUGCGGCUUAAUUUGACUCAACGCGGGAAAACUUACCAGGUCCAGACAUAGUGAGGAUUGACAGAUUGAGAGUUCUUUCUUGAUUCUAUGGGUGGGGGCGCAUGGCCGUUCUUAGUUGGUGGAGUGAUUUGUCUGGUUAAUUCCGUUAACGACAGAGACCGCCGCCUGCUAAAUAGUUCUACUAAAGGUUUUUCGUUGGUAAGAGCUUUUUAGAGGGACGUUCAUUCUCACAAGAUGAAGGAGGAUGGCGGCAAUAACAGGUCUGUGAUGCCCUUAGAUGUCUUGGGCCGCACGCGCGUUACAUGUGAUGCACUCAACGAGCAUAUAACCUUGGCCGAGAGGCCUGGGUAAUCUUGUUAACAUGCAUCGUGAUAGGGAUAGAUUAUUGCAAUUUUUAAUCUUGAACGAGGAAUUCCUAGUAACCGCGGUUCAUCAAACCCCAAUGAUUACGUCCCUGCUCCUUGUACACACCGCCC
rnacentral:rRNA from 1 species